rnacentral:rRNA from 1 species
UUCCGGUUGAUCCCGCCGGAGSSCACUGCUAUCGGGGUUCGAUUAAGCCAUGCGAGUCGAGAGGUGCAAGACCUCGGCGCACUGCUCAGUAACACGUGGAUAACCUACCCUCAGGAGGGGGAUAACCCCGGGAAACUGGGGAUAAUACCCCAUAGAUCAGGGACGCUGGAAUGCCCCCUGAUUCAAAGGUCCGCCGCCUGAGGAUGGGUCUGCGGCCGAUUAGGUUGUUGUUGGGGUAACGGCCCAACAAGCCAUUGAUCGGUACGGGUUGUGAGAGCAAGAGCCCGGAGAUGGAUUCUGAGACACGAAUCCAGGCCCUACGGGGCGCAGCAGGCGCGAAAACUUUACAAUGCGAGAAAUCGUGAUAAGGGAACCCCGAGUGCCCGUAAAUUCGGGCUGUCCGCCAGUGUAAAUAACUGGUGAAGAAAGGGCCGGGCAAG